AGAGUUUGAUCAUGGCUCAGGAUAAACGCUGGCGGCGCACAUAAGACAUGCAAGUCGAACGGACGAGUAAUUCUUUAGAUAUUACAAGUUAGUGGCGGACUGGUGAGUAACGCGUGAGCAACCUACCUAAGAGAGGGGAACAACGGAGAGAAAUUUCCGCUAAUACCGCAUAAGCUGAAAGAAUCGCAUGAUUCAGUCAGAAAAGGAGCGAUCCGCUUUUAGAUGGGCUCGCGUCCGAUUAGCUAGUUGGUGGGGUAGAAGCCUACCAAGGCGACGAUCGGUAGCCGGACUGAGAGGUUGAACGGCCACAUUGGGACUGAGAUACGGCCCAGACUCCUACGGGAGGCAGCAGUCGGGAAUAUUGCGCAAUGGAGGAAACUCUGACGCAGCGACGCCGCGUAUAGGAAGAAGGUUUUCGGAUUGUAAACUAUUGUCGUUAGGGAAGAGAAAGGACGGUACCUAAGGAGGAAGCCCCGGCUAACUAUGUGCCAGCCGCCGC
rnacentral:rRNA from 1 species